rnacentral:sRNA from 1 species
GCUGGGCGUGGUGGCACAUACCUGUAAUCCCAGCUACUAAGGAGGCUGAGGCAGGAGGAUCACAAGUUCAACCUCAGCAACUUAGUAAGACCCUGUCUUAA